CAGCUCACGCUUGUGUCAACGAACGGUGGAGCUCUCCUCUUCGUUGACUCUCUCGCGGCCCAGACGAAGCUGCUCCAUCUCGCUGCUUCAACACCACGGUUCCACCGAAAUUUUACGGGCCCAAGAGCUCCGUGAUUCUCAAGCGAGUAGCCCAGUAACAGCUCGUGUCUUCGUCGAGCAAGUUUCAACAGCUGCGUGUCUUCGGUCAACUGAUUUCUUCCUUGUUGACCCUUGCUCAUCCACUCAAGCCGCACGCCACA
rnacentral:lncRNA from 1 species